rnacentral:rRNA from 1 species
AAUGAACGUUGGCGGCGUGGAUUAGGCAUGCAAGUCGUACGAGAAUCGUAGCAAUACGAGGAAAGUGGCGGAAGGGAGAGGAUUACGUGGGAAUCUACCCUCAGAACUGGGAUAGCGGCGGGAAACUGCCGGUAAUACCAGAUAAUGUCUGUGGACCAAAGGUGUGAUUCCGUCUGGGGAUGAGCCCACGAUCCUAUUAGCUAGUUGGCAGGGUAAUGGCCUACCAAGGCAAUGAUGGGUAGCGGGUGUGAGAGCAUGACCCGCCUCACUGGGACUGAGAACUGCCCAGAAACCUACGGGUGGCUGCAGGCGAGAAUCUUCGGCAAUGAGCGCAAGCUUGACCGAGCGACGCCGCGUGCGGGAUGAAGGCGUUCGGGUUGUAAACCGCUGUCGUAGGGGAGCAAGAGAUGAGGGUACUCCCUCUGAUUUGAGCGAUCCUAGGAGGAAGGACGGGCUAAGUUCGUGCCAGCAGCCGCCGUAAAAC